CGCUGACGGUUGCAACUCCGCCAGGCCCAGAAGAAAGCACCCACAUUGGACUUCG
rnacentral:SRP_RNA from 1 species